rnacentral:rRNA from 1 species
GAUGAAGAACGUAGCGAAAUGCGAUACUUGGUGUGAAUUGCAGAAUCCCGUGAACCAUCGAGUCUUUGAACGCAAGUUGCGCCCGAAGCCUUCAGGCCAAGGGCACGUCUGCCUGGGCGUCACGCAUCGCGUCGCCCCCAAUUCUUGCUCUUAGAG